CCCAUACCCUAUAGCAGUCACUCCCAAUUCUCUUCUUCCACCCAUUCCCUGGCAACCACUAAUCUACUUUCCAUCUCUAUGGAUUUAACUAUUCAGGACAUUUUAUAUGAUGAAUCAAUUUGGAGAGGAACUCUCAACACUUCCAAGGACACUACCUUGUCAGGAUGCUCCCAGAACUGAUAAACAAAAUAAAAGAAGUAAAGAUCAAAAGAAAGAGAGAGAAAAGGAAGGAAGGGAGGAAGGAAGGAAGGAGGAGGGAAGGAAGGAAGGAAGGAAGGAAGGAAGGAAAGAAACUGUGGAAAAACUCACAAUCCAGACAAGACAUCUGCUCAAUUUUGGAUUGUAUCAUUCCAGAACUAUCCACAACAUACUUAACUAGCUUCUAAUUUUUAAAGUAAAACCUUUCCAGUGUUUUGCUAUUUAAAA